UGGGGAAUUUUGCGCAAUGGGGGAAACCCUGACGCAGCAACGCCGCGUGCGGGACGAAGGCCUUCGGGUUGUAAACCGCUUUCAGCAGGGAAGACAUCGACGGUACCUGCAGAAGAAGCCCCGGCUAACUACGUGCCAGCAGCCGCGGUAACACGUAGGGGGCGAGCGUUAUCCGGAUUCAUUGGGCGUAAAGCGCGCGUAGGCGGCCGCUCAAGCGGGACCUCUAAUCCCGGGGCUCAACCCCGGGCCGGGUCCCGAACUGGGCGGCUCGAGUCAGGUAGAGGCAGGCGGAAUUCCCGGUGUAGCGGUGAAAUGCGCAGAUAUCGGGAAGAACACCGAUGGCGAAGGCAGCCUGCUGGGCCUCGACUGACGCUGAGGCGCGAAAGCCGGGGGAGCGAACA
rnacentral:rRNA from 1 species